rnacentral:rRNA from 1 species
UAGCCGCAAUAUUCUGUGCUAAGGUAGCAUAAUCGUUAGUUCAUUAAUUAUGAAAUAGUAUGAAUGAUUACAUGAAUAAAUUAAUUUUUUUACUAUUUUUAAAUAAAUUCAUCUUGAAGUUAAAACUCUUCACCUCCUAAGAAGGACAACAAGACCCUAACGAACUUUACUAAAAGUUUAACUGGGGCGGUUUUCAAGAAUAUCUUUAUCUUUUUUUUUUAAAUAUCCAAAAAAUUUGACCUUCCAAGUUACCGUAGGGAUAACAGCAUAAUAAUUUUUUAAAGUUCUUAUAAAAAAAAAUUUUUUAUGACCUCGAUGUUGAAUUAAAUACCUAAUCCAAGCAAGAUUGGAAUCCACACUAAGGAAGUCUGUUCGACUUUUAACUUUUUACAUGAU